rnacentral:rRNA from 1 species
AGUUAAAAAGCUCGUAGUUGGAGUUCAGGGUGAGCUCAGCCGGUCGGCGUCAUGCGUCAGAACUGGUCGACUCUCCCUUGUUUGUGGAUCCCGCCCGGAGUUAACUCUUCGGGAUGUGGAGUUCACAUCGUUUACCUUGAAAAAAUUAGAGUGUUCAAAGCAGGCGUUUGCUUGAAUAUAUUAGCAUGGAAUAAUGGAAUAGGACCCUGGUUCUAUUUUGUUGGUUUUGAGAACCUGAAUAAUGAUUAAUAGGGAUAGUUGGGGGCAUUCAUAUUUCAUUGUCAGAGGUGAAAUUCUUGGAUUUAUGAAAGAUGAACUUCUGCGAAAGCAUUUGCCAAGGAUGUUUUCAUUAAUCAAGAACGAAAGUUAGGGGAUCGAAGACGAUCAGAUACCGUCGUAGUCUUAACCAUAAACUAUGCCGACUAGGGAUUGGGCGUGGUUUGUUCAUUGACCCGCUCAGCACCUUACGAGAAAUCAAAGUCUUUGGGUUCCGGGGGGAGUAUGGUCGCAAGGCUGAAACUUAAAGGAAUUGACGGAGGGGCACCACCAGGAGUGGAGCCUGCGGCUUAGUUUGACUCAACACGGGAAAACUUACCAGGUCCAGACAUAGUAAGGAUUGACAGAUUGAGAGCUCUU